UCAAAGGAGACUGCCAGUGAUAAACUGGAGGAAGGUGGGGAUGACGUCAAGUCAUCAUGGCCCUUACGACCAGGGCUACACACGUGCUACAAUGGCGCAUACAAAGAGAAGCGACCUCGCGAGAGCAAGCGGACCUCAUAAAGUGCGUCGUAGUCCGGAUUGGAGUCUGCAACUCGACUCCAUGAAGUCGGAAUCGCUAGUAAUCGUGGAUCAGAAUGCCACGGUGAAUACGUUCCCGGGCCUUGUACACACCGCCCGUCACACCAUGGGAGUGGGUUGCAAAAGAAGUAGGUAGCUUAACCUUCGGGAGGGCGCUUACCACUUUGUGAUUCAUGACUGGGGUGAAGUCGUAACAAGGUAACCGUAGGGGAACCUGCGGUUGGAUCAC
rnacentral:rRNA from 1 species